UCAACAGUCUGCUCUCCUCUGAAGGUGAAAGGCUUCAACUUAAUUUUACUUGUUUAUUUACUGUAGAAUUUGGCUAUCAACCCAAAAGAUAAGAAUAGUUCCCGGUGGGAACAUUUCUGAGAAUAAUUUUUAGUGCUCUCUACGAGCAUUAAUUUUUAAAAGAUCUAUAUUGGGUACCUUGUGAACUACUUCUUUAUUGACAGUCUACAGAAGAAACACAUUAGAAGAGUGACCUUCAUUCUUAAUUCAGAUUGCCAUGCAUUUAAGGCUGUCUCUGUUCAGGAGAUAGGAACAUACAGCUCAACAGGAAAUGUGUUUGGCUCCUUGUUUUCCUUAUCUCCAGAAAAGUAGGGCCUUAUCUCCUCAGGUUACUCUUGCAGCCAGCUUCAAGAUGAGAGCAUACCAAGGAUUCAGACAGACCUUAAUGCUGCUUCCUGUUUUGUUCUCCUCUUCUAAAAAGUCAUACAAUCCAUGUGUUCUUUUGAAACACUCAACUGGGCAAAGAGCAUCUGCAACUGGGCAAAGAGCUCAUGUGUGUGGGCCUGCUGCAGUGGGCAAUGCUUAUCUAGCCCACCCCCAUCUGAUUUGUGCAUAGUGGCAUCUGUAUGUAGACUUCUGUUUAUGAGAGAAGGCAUGAGAGUAAUAUGAGAACAGUCAAAGGUGAAGAUCCAGUAGAAUGUAAUAUUAAAGGAGAGACAGCCAAGCAACUGCGCGUUUAUAAAAAAUAGGAGCCACAGGGGUUAUAAAAGGAGAAAAACCAAGAAAUGGCUGUGAGAAAUACAGUGUGACAUUUGUUUUGCUCAUUUUGAAGGCUUUUUCAGGGAAUGUCUCUUCACAUUGUCAUCUGAAAAGCUUCAUAAAUAAACCCACCGAAAGCCACAGUUAUGGAAACUGUGAAACCUCCAGAUGUAUUUCUGAUCGUUUACGUGCUCAUGCAUUCAUCAGGGUGUUUUUCUCAAGUGUAAGAUGGGAAAACUGAAGCCUUUUACUGAUGCCAAAAGAACAGCUCUAUUAGCUGCAAUCAUUUUUGAAGAUCCACGUCUUUCAGAAAACAUGAAUAUUCAGGAUGUCGUACGGACGCUUGAACAAAUAUCUUGUCCAUGCUAAAUGACAGUGAGCUGGACUGAAAUUUCUAAAUCGCAUCUAGCAAUGCAAAACAUUAUGGCUUCAAAUUAUGAUACAGGGUUCCAUGCAAUUAAUUUGAAACAUAAUUCUAUAUCAGAAUGAAGCAUACAUCUGGUUUAAGUACUCGUAAGCAAGGUCUGCAAACCAUCCUGUGGAUAAGGAAGGUUCACAGGAAGAGGGAAAAUUAACAAUGAUGGUUCUGGCACUGUGGAGAAGACAUAAGUCCUUGAACAAUUUUUAGAGUGAAGAGAAACGUGAAAAGACAUCCAGAAUCUCCCUUGUGGCUUCUUUCUUUGGAGAGGAAAACAUUUGGGAAGUUAACAUUUUACUGAAUGUAUAUAUACACUCAGGUCCCAAUUCUUUAAGGAUCAGA